rnacentral:rRNA from 1 species
UACGAAGGGUGCAAGCGUUACUCGGAAUUACUGGGCGUAAAGCGUGCGUAGGUGGUUUGUUAAGUCUGAUGUGAAAGCCCUGGGCUCAACCUGGGAACGGCAUUGGAAACUGGCUUACUAGAGUGCGGUAGAGGGGUGUGGAAUUCCCGGUGUAGCAGUGAAAUGCGUAGAUAUCGGGAGGAACACCGAUGGCGAAGGCAGCUCGCUGGGACGGUACUGACGCUGAGGCGCGAAAGCGUGGGGAGCAAACAGG